GACGAACGCUGGCGGCGUGCUUAACACAUGCAAGUCGAACGGUAAGGCCCCUUCGGGGGUACACGAGUGGCGAACGGGUGAGUAACACGUGAGCAACCUGCCCUUGACUUUGGGAUACCAGCUGGAAACAGCUGCUAAUACCGGAUAUGACCUCUUCUCUCAUGGGUCGAGGUGGAAAGCUCCGGCGGUCAGGGAUGGGCUCGCGGCCUAUCAGCUUGUUGGUGAGGUAAUGGCUCACCAAGGCUUCGACGGGUAGCCGGCCUGAGAGGGCGACCGGCCACACUGGGACUGAGAUACAGCCCAGACUCCUACGGGAGGCAGCAGUGGGGAAUAUUGCACAAUGGGCGGAAGCCUGAUGCAGCAACGCCGCGUGCGGGAUGACGGCCUUCGGGUUGUAAACCGCUUUCGCCUGUGACGAAGCGUGAGUGACGGUAAUGGGUAAAGAAGCACCGGCUAACUACGUG
rnacentral:rRNA from 1 species